GAUGAACGCUAGCGGCAGGCCUAAUACAUGCAAGUCGAACGGGAUUAAGAGGCUUGCUUCUUAUGAGAGUGGCGCACGGGUGCGUAACACGUAUGCAACCUACCUUUAACUGGGGGAUAGCCUUCCGAAAGGGAGAUUAAUACCGCAUAACAUAAUUGAACGGCAUCGUUUGAUUAUCAAACUUCCAAGGGUUAAAGAUGGGCAUGCGUCCGAUUAGUUAGUUGGUGAGGUAACGGCUCACCAAGGCAUCGAUCGGUAGGGGAUCAGAGAGGAUGACCCCCCACACUUGUACUGAGACACGGACCAGACUCCUACGGGAGGCAGCAGUAAGGAAUAUUGGUCAAUGGACGCAAGUCUGAACCAGCCAUGCCGCGUGCAGGAAGACGGUCCUCUGGAUUGUAAACUGCUUUUGUUAGGGAAGAAACCCUCUGAUGCGUCAGAGGCUGACGGUACCUAAAGAAUAAGGAUCGGCUAACUCCGUGCCAGCCGCCGCUGUAAGAC
rnacentral:rRNA from 1 species